rnacentral:misc_RNA from 1 species
UCAAACUUGGUCAUUUAGAGGAAGUAAAAGUCGUAACAAGGUUUCCGUAGGUGAACCUGCGGAAGGAUCAUUAAAGAGUUAGGGUCCUCUGGGCCCGACCUCCCAACCCUCUGUUUACCGAACCUCUGUUGCUUCGGCGGACCCGUCUCACGACCGCCGGAGGACCGCCCCCCAAGGUGUCCUCUGGCCAGCGUCCGCCGAUGGCCAACCUUCAAAACUCCUGAAUGAAUCGUGUUUAUUCUCUGAGUAACAUUUAUUAAAUUAAAGCAAAACUUUCAACAACGGAUCUCUUGGUUCUGGCAUCGAUGAAGAACGCAGC